AAUAGAUACCCAGGUAGUCCACGCCGUAAACGAUGGAUACUAGCUGUUUGUUCGAAAGGAUGAGUGGCUAAGCGAAAGUGAUAAGUAUCCCACCUGGGGAGUACGGGCGCAAGCCUGAAACUCAAAGGAAUUGACGGGGGCCCGCACAAGCGGUGGAGCAUGUGGUUUAAUUCGAUGAUACGCGAGGAACCUUACCAGGGCUUAAAUGUGUUUUGACCGAUCUGGAAACAGAUCUUUCGCAAGACGAAAAUACAAGGUGCUGCAUGGUUGUCGUCAGCUCGUGCCGUGAGGUGUCAGGUUAAGUCCUAUAACGAGCGCAACCCCUGUUGUUAGUUGCCAGCGAGUCAUGUCGGGAACUCUAACAAGACUGCCAGUGUAAACUGUGAGGAAGGUGGGGAUGACGUCAAAUCAUCACGGCCCUUACGUCCUGGGCCACACACGUGCUACAAUGGGCGGUACAGAGAGCAGCUACCUAGUGAUAGGAUGCGAAUCUAUAAAACCGUUCUCAGUUCGGAUCGGAGUCUGCUAACCG
rnacentral:rRNA from 1 species